AUGACAGCAGCUGCUGGAGUAGACCCUAAAUCAGGAGCUACUGCUUUGGAAUCCUCUGAAGAGGAGGAGAUUCUGAACAUAAUGAGUCACUCACAGCGUGGACGGAUUGAGGAACAGUGUUGCACUUUAAGUCCUGUUAAAACAGCACAAAUCAAAACUACAGACAAUGAGAAGGUCAUCCAUAACUCAGACCACAACCUGCGUGUGUCAUUGCCUGGGUUUAACUAUCAGGUAGUAUAUUGGAGAUUAUGA
ensembl:lncRNA